rnacentral:misc_RNA from 1 species
GGGGAAUCGGAGUUGAAACUCCACCCCUGUGACAUAACCUCUGUCGUUGCUUCGGCGGGCACGCCCGCCGGAGGUUCAAAACUCUUAUUUUUUCCAGUAUCUCUGAGCCUGAAAGACAAAUAAUCAAAACUUUCAACAACGGAUCUCUUGGUUCUGGCAUCGAUGAAGAACGCAGCGAAAUGCGAUAAGUAAUGUGAAUUGCAGAAUUCAGUGAAUCAUCGAAUCUUUGAACGCACAUUGCGCCCGCCGGUAUUCCGGCGGGCAUGCCUGUUCGAGCGUCAUUUCAACCCUCAAGCCUCGGCUUGGUGUUGGGGCGCCCGGGCCCUCCGCGGCCCGGGGCCCCCGGGUCCGUCGGCGGGCCCGUCGGUACGCCGCGCGCGGGGACGCGCGGGCCGGCGCGGGCGCCGACCCCGCGCCCGCGGGCGCGGCCCGGCGCCCCGACCCCCCGACGGGGCACCAGGGGCCCCGGCGGGGCGCAGCAGCGCGAGCGCCGGCAGCCCAACCCCGUCAAGGGAAGGAUACAUUACUGGAGUUGAAAAACUCACCCCUGUGAACAUAACCUCUGUCGUUGCUUUCGGCGGGCACGCCCGCCGGAGGGUUCAAAACUCUUUAUUUUUUCAGCUAUCUCUGAGCCUGAAAGACAAAUAAUCAAAACUUUCAACAACGGGAUCUCUUUGGUUUCUGGGCAUCGCAUGAAAGAAACGCAGCGCAAAAUGCGGAAUAAGUUAAAUGGUGGAAAUUUGCCAGAAAAUUUCACUGGGAAAUCAUCCAAAUUCUUUUGGAAACGCACAAUUUGGCGGCCCCGCCGGGGUAAUUUCCGGGCGGGGGCAAUGCCCUGGUUUCGAAGCCGGUCAUUUUUCAACCCCAAACCCCCCGGCCUUUGGGGUUGGUUUUUGGGGGGGCGGGCCCCCCGGGGGGGCCCCCCCCCCGGGCCCGGGGGGGCCCCCCCAAAGAUUUUCCUUCCCGGAGCGGGGAGUCCCUUCUCCGGGGGAACCCCCUUGGGGGCGGCGCGGCGCUAAUAAAACCACCGGCGCGGUUAAAAAGAACCCCCGAAAAAAACAUCACCUUUUCCUGGGGGAAAGAAUUUCCCCCACCGGCGGCGGUAGGUGGUUGCCCUACAUCCCGGCCUCCCCCCCAUAACACACCCCCCCCCCCCCCCCCCUCCAAAUUUUUUUUAUUUAAUAAGUUAAGUUGAGGAGGGUGUGAGGGUCGCCCCCCGCCCUCGUAACGGGCUUGUGGGUACGAAACGGUGGUUUGAAAGAAAAGUAAGAAACCAGCCUCCCUUCGCUGCCUCCGCGUGGGGCAAAAAAAGUAUCAUUGAUAAAGGGGGCCAUUUCCCGAAUUAUCUAAAACAUCACUUUACCAGGGCCGGGGCGCUAACCCCACCGGAAAAACCAAAAAGUAAAACUGAAAAAUAAGGAACCAAAUAUAGAACCCCUUUUUAAAAACUUUUUUUAAAAAAAAUAUCCCCCACAACCACAUGGGGGGCCCCUUUCCCCCUUUUAGACCCCGGGGCCAAAAAAAGUUUUUUAAUUUAUCCCCUUUUCUAACCCCCCGGGGCCCCCCGGAAAAUAACCCCCCCCACCCAUUUUUUUUAAACCCCCCCUGGGGGGGAGGUGGAGGUCCUCCUCCCUUUGAAAAAGGCGGGAGGUGGGGGCCAAAACCCCCUUUUCCCUGUUGUGAAACCCCAAAAAAGGGGUUUAAUUUGGGGGGGACCCCCCUAAAAAAACCAAAUUUUUCCCCCCCCCUUUUUGGGGCUGGCUUUCCCCCGGAAAAAAAGGGCGGCGUAGAACCACUCCCCCCAAAAAAAAUAAAAAUUAAAGAAAACCCAGUUUUUCCCUCAUAAGGAAAAAAAGCCCU